rnacentral:rRNA from 1 species
AUUGAACGCUGGCGGCAUGCUUUACACAUGCAAGUCGAACGGCAGCGGGGAGGAGCUUGCUUCUCUGCCGGCGAGUGGCGAACGGGUGAGUAAUACAUCGGAACGUGUCGAGAAGAGGGGGAUAACCACCCGAAAGGGUGGCUAAUACCGCAUAAAUUCUGAGGAAGAAAGCUGGGGACCUAGGAAUAGGCCUAGCGCUUUUUGAGCGGCCGAUGUCGGAUUAGCUAGUUGGUGAGGUAAAGGCUCACCAAGGCGAAGAUCUGUAGCGGGUCUGAGAGGAUGAUCCGCCACACUGGGACUGAGACACGGCCCAGACCCCUACGGGAGGCAGCAGUGGGGAAUUUUGGACAAUGGGGGCAACCCUGAUCCAGCCAUGCCGCGUGUAUGAAGAAGGCCUUAGGGUUGUAAAGUACUUUUGUUAGGGAAGAAAAGUCAGCUGUGAAUAAUGGCUGAUACUGACGGUACCUAAAGAAUAAGCACCGGCUAACUACGUG